AGUUUUAAGAUGAGGUUGAACUAAGCUUUCCAAAAAUGUGACCCAGAAAACAAUUUAGUUGAGCAACCCUGCAGUCAAGCAUACCGCCGGACCAUUUCACCGUGCGUGUCCACUCACCGAUGCGUGCUGUGAUCACACCCAUGAACAACAGGAUAAUGGAGAUGUAAGACUCGGGCGUGCUACCAGAGGGCACGUUGUCGAACAGCACAGUAUUGUUGGUCCAGUGGAUGGAGGAGCGGUCCGGUAGAAGCGGCUGAUUGCUGCCUCCCCUCAGAGGAUAAGUGUGUUUUUGUCUUUGGCUCGCCAUCCCUCCGAGCUCAGAGGAGGAGUUCGAGGUAAAGUAGGGCAUCAGCAAGCUAAGAUCCAUGGGGCUGCCCGGGGCAAAGACGGAGCACACGCAGAGUAGCAAGCAGCCCAGGUGGAGGCAGCUGGAGAUGAUGCCGGUGUUGACGAGACCGUAUGUCUUCCUCAGUCUCGUAAACAUGACAGUCCCCAUCAAGCCGGUGAUGGCCGAGACGCCCAUCAGUAAACUGAGGAGGGAGCCGCUUAUGCCCUGAGUGUAGGCGUAGCCGGUGGUGAUGCAGUCAAAGCCCAGCACUGUGGUGUAGAGGAACGCCAGGCCCAUUCCCGCCAGGAAGACAGGCUGGUGGUAGUAGGCCGUCCAUCCUUCUUUGCACGUGCUCACCAGCCAGCGGAACCUCCGGAAGCACAGGGGGAGAUCGGUGUGAUCCAGCUCCACCGCUGGCGGUUUGACUGAAAGAGCAGGAACGAUGCGGUACACCCGGGACAAGAAGAAGAACUCCACUAUGAGAGACACAAGGUUCCAUCCCAGGAUGAAGCCACAUCCAACUACAUUGGAGGCCAGGGUCAUGACCUGUCCCACCGCUAGCGGGGCCAGGAUGUUAGUCACCUGAUCUAUCCGCCUCAUGGUGGCAUUCAUUCCUUUUGUCAGGAUUAGAGAAGCAGGUGCGUUAAAGCUUUUUGCACAACGCCGCCAUUAACGCACGAGCGAGUCCUCUUACCAGCUAGGUGGCCCCGGUUGUAGCCGGUGAUGACUACGAUCCAGUCCCGCUGGAUGGCAAUGGUCAGCGCGGUGCUUGCAAGGUUUGCCACAUCUGCCAGGACGAUCACCACCGUAUAACAAACCACCUUGUGUCAGCUCACCUGGUAUACUCCUGGCUUUUUUGGCUCUGGCAUUCCUGAUGUCGUCAGACUCGAACUCGACCACAACGCCGCCGCAUUGGGAGGACUCUGCUCGCUGGGACAUUGCCUUAAAGAGAUGGUAUGCUAGUUUUUUUUGAGUGUAAAAAAACAUUUUUUUUUUAUGGAAAAUAUACAAUAUUCUGAUCUUUCGGACAGAAUUUCCACCAGUAGGCCCGACUUUGUGUUUGUCACUGAUUGACAGUUGAGCGGUGCUAGCCAUUGAGCGAAAAGCUGUGGACUAGAUGUUCAGACGUCAGGGAUUUAGGUUUUUUUGCACAGCUACAGUAAUGUUGCCCGAUUGUUGCUGAGUGAACCGGAAUCUGGGAGAGUACCGGAAAGUAAAAAUACGGGAAAAACGACCAAAACGCAGGAGUUUCCCAAAGAAAACAUGAGCUUCGUACAACAACCUUUAAAAGCAGACUACAAAGAAAAAUAUCCACAAGAGACCAUCGCGUCCUUUGAACCGAUAGAGCCGUCAUCUGAUGAUAUUCGAUGCCAAAGCGUGCUUCUCUCACCUUUUCUUCUCACUCAAUCCUUGCUGCUGUUUCUUGAUGAUGUAUGUUGUGCCAUGUAUCCUACAUCGGGAAAACCCGUCUUUCCCGAGAGCUGGAAUUCAAGCUGUAGUAUUCUGAAAGGCUUAAUAACAUCACAGUGCUCAAGUGCACCAUUGUAUGAAAGUGCCAGAAAAGCAGAACAGGCGGCGCGGACAACAAAGGCAGCCAGCAUAUUCCACAGCA